rnacentral:rRNA from 1 species
AGUUUACUGAAAUCCUAUAGUAAAUGUGUUCUGCCCAGUGUAAUUAUCAACGGCCGCGGUAUCCUGACCGUGCAAAGGUAGCAUAAUCAUUUGCCUUUUAAUUGGAGGCUAGAAUGAAUGAAUAAACGUAAAUCAAACUUUUCCUCAUAUUUCUAUAAAAAUUAUUCUUCAGGUGAAAAAACCUGAAUUUCAUAAAAAGACAAGAAGACCCUAUCAAGCUUUAUAUUAAUUAAAUCCUAUUUAUUUUAAUAUUUGAUUGGGGCGAUUAAUGGAAAUCUAUAAUCUUCCAUAAAAUAAAAGAGUUAUAACUCAACAACUUAAAAAUUUAAAAUAAAUAAGCUACUGUAGGGAUAACAGGCUAAUACUUUCCUAGAGUUCAAAUUAAAGAAAGUGGUUGGCACCUCGAUGUUGGCUUAGGGUCCCCCUACAUCGCAGAAGAUGUAACAGGUAGUUUGUUCAACUAUUAAAUCCCU